UACGUAGGUGGCGAGCGUUGUCCGGAUUUAUUGGGCGUAAAGGGCGCGCAGGUGGUGUGGUGGGUCCGUCGUGAAAUCUCCCGGCUCAACUGGGAGGGUGCGGCGGAGACUGCCAGACUAGAGGCACUCAGAGGCCGGUGGAAUUCCCGGUGUAGUGGUGAAAUGCGUAGAUAUUGGGAGGAACACCAGUGGCGAAGGCGGCUCACUGGACCGGUACUGACGCUGAUGCGCGAAAGCGUGGGGAGCAAACGGG
rnacentral:rRNA from 1 species